GCGGGCGUGGCGGAACUGGCAAACGCGAUGGCCUUAGGAGCCAUUGAGCGAGAGCUCUUGGGGGUUCGAGUCCCUCCGCCCACA
rnacentral:tRNA from 1 species